AGUUAGUUCAAGGUGAAGCAGCGAGAUCCUCAUAAGUCACAGGAGCAGGGAAGGCUGGAUUUCUCAAGGCAAGCAAGAGGAGCAGCACCAACAGCAGCAGGAGGAGCAGCAACAUCAGUGAACCUCAAGCGUCUCCCGGUACUCAGUGAGAUGACGACACGACAUCUGGACUACGGCAACUUGUGGUGAGUGCGUGCUUGCCAGGCCCCUCCCUCACGCCUGCCCGCACACCCACCAGCCUCGAUUGGGUCUCGUCUCUCCCGGACAUCUGGACACCACACCGAUCGAAACUUAAGGGUCUCCAAACAUUUUUCGGACCUCCAUAACUCCAGCGCGUACAGUGCCAAGCAAGGGAAUUUCCUGGAUAAUUAAUAGUCGCAUUCGUGUAAAAUGUCACGUUUCUGCAAUCCGCCAUUGUUGUCGCAUUGCUCGUGUAUGUCGCUAUCUGCAUUCAACGAAAUGUAUGUAAAGACGGGAGGAAAGACCCCGCCAGACAUUACAUAACCUUGUAUACAUCUUGCGCCACUGAAAUGUAUGUAGCAAACAAGUCCUAUGAGUUACUGGAGAAAAAAUUAAGCAUUUAAAGAUACUGAAGCUCAGAGGAGGAAGGGAAUCUGCAGUGUGUUACUCUGUAUGGUGUAAAGGAAAGAUAUAGUCCUGAUA